rnacentral:tRNA from 1 species
GAGGAGGUAGCUCAGAUGGGAGAGCGUCCGCCGCUGGCGGAAGGUUGCGGGUUCGAGUCCCGCCCUCUUCA